AAAAAUAUCUAAAGGAGACUGAGGGCUUGUUUGAUAAUGAUGCUAACUCAGUCAGAAAGGAGGACUCGGUCCUCAAUCAGAAGUUGGUGCGUUUGAUUUGGGUUUUUUAUCCACAGACUCGGUCCAAAGAAAUUUGAGGAUUCGAUCCAAAGAAAUUUGAGGAUUCGGUCCUCAUCUCAAAACCUCCUGACCGAGACCAAGCCUCAUAUUUUCCCUCCUUGCCCUUCACUUUUUGUAGGUGCCUUCUUCUCCAUCGCAUCAUCUCCACUCCACCGGCGAAAUUACGUUCUUCAGACUUCAAUACUCGGUCCACUGAAAUAAAGAGGCUGACUAAAAAAUUGACGCCUUUUGCCCUUGCCCUGGACGCAGCUCUCCAGAAACUUCAAUCGAUCCAAGCAACGCUUCCUUCCUUCCACCAUCGGUCAGAAACUUCAAUACUCGUCCUCUCUAUCGUUUCUAUCUAUCAUCUUCAUCCUCGUUAAAAACCUCCAUUGCCACCAUCCUCUUCACCGUCGACCACCUCCUUUAUUGUGAACCCCCUGAAGCAUCUCAAAUGGGUCGAUUUCUUUUCAAUUGCAGUUAAUCCCUUUGGAUUCUAUCAAUUUCGACUUUCCAAUGCUUCACGUGAAACUGCACAUAUUUGUUGGUUUGCUCAUUUUCAAUAGAUACGGACCGCAAGGGAAACAGGUGCACUCCAAGAAGCAAAGGAUAAGCUUCAAGGGCAACUGGAAGACCUCACUUUGCAUUUACAGUUACAGAAAUAGUUGAAGGUAAUGUAAACUAAACUAAACUCCAUUUGAGUGAUUAAAUAUUUGUGGUGUUAAAUAUUGUGAUGAAUAUGAGAAUGGGCUAAUGAUGCAGAGUCGGCUGGAAGAAGCAAAGGGUCUAGAAUGAUGUAUAUGGAUUGGAUGAAGAACAAUAUUAAACAGAUGCAUUACUCAUUGUGUGCCUGUUGUUAGAAAUUUGGAUAGCUUCUUUGAAUUGCAUAAUUAGGUGUCUUACAGCUGUGACAACCUUUGUCCCCUGAGUUCAAGUUUUUUUUCUUUUAUAGGUGUAUGAUUUGUUUUUAUAAAUUGUAACAAGGAUCAUUGUAUUUCAUAUUUUAUAGCAACCAUACAUGAUAAUGGUUCAAUCCAGGUACAUAUGAAUGCAAACAUGUGUUCCGUUUUAUAGUUUUCAAUUGGUAAGAAGGGGAAGACAAUCAAGAGAUAUGUUGAUUUUUUUUGUUUUAAUCUUCAUGUUCCUGAG
rnacentral:lncRNA from 1 species